GACGAACGCUGGCGGCGUGCUUAACACAUGCAAGUCGAACGGAAAGGCCCUGCUUUUGUGGGGUGCUCGAGUGGCGAACGGGUGAGUAACACGUGAGUAACCUGCCCUUGACUUUGGGAUAACUUCAGGAAACUGGGGCUAAUACCGGAUAGGAGCUCCUGCUGCAUGGUGGGGGUUGGAAAGUUUCGGCGGUUGAGGAUGGACUCGCGGCUUAUCAGCUUGUUGGUGGGGUAGUGGCUUACCAAGGCUUUGACGGGUAGCCGGCCUGAGAGGGUGUCCGGCCACAUUGGGACUGAGAUACGGCCCAGACUCCUACGGGAGGCAGCAGUGGGGAAUAUUGCACAAUGGGCGGAAGCCUGAUGCAGCAACGCCGCGUGCGGGAUGACGGCCUUCGGGUUGUAAACCGCUUUCGCCUGUGACGAAGCGUGAGUGACGGUAAUGGGUAAAGAAGCACCGGCUAACUACGUG
rnacentral:rRNA from 1 species